rnacentral:rRNA from 1 species
CAGUAGCCGCGGGAAUACGUAGGGUGCAAGCGUUAAUCGGAAUUACUGGGCGUAAAGCGUGCGCAGGCGGUUAUAUAAGACAGAUGUGAAAUCCCCGGGCUCAACCUGGGAACUGCAUUUGUGACUGUAUAGCUAGAGUACGGCAGAGGGGGAUGGAAUUCCGCGUGUAGCAGUGAAAUGCGUAGAUAUGCGGAGGAACACCGAUGGCGAAGGCAAUCCCCUGGGCCUGUACUGACGCUCAUGCACGAAAGCGUGGGGAGCAAACAGGAUUAGAUACCCGCGUAGUCCCUGUCUCUUAUAA